GACUAACCGUGCAAACGUUGUUCGGAAUCACUGGGCUUAAAGGGCGCGUAGGCGGGCCAGCCAGUCUGUGGUGAAAGCCUCCAGCUUAACUGGAGAAGUGCCGUGGAUACUGCUGGCCUCGAGGAGGAUAGGGGCAUCUGGAACGGUCGGUGGAGCGGUGAAAUGCGUUGAUAUCGACCGGAACUCCGGUGGCGAAGGCGAGGUGCUGGGUCCUUUCUGACGCUGAUGCGCGAAAGCCAGGGGAGCAAACGGG
rnacentral:rRNA from 1 species